rnacentral:rRNA from 1 species
CAAUAGCGUAUAUUUAAGUUGUUGCAGUUAAAAAGCUCGUAGUUGGAUUUCGGAUGGGACUUGCCGGUCCGUCGUUUCGAUGUGCACUGGCCAGUCCUAUCUUGUUGUCGGGGACUAGCUCCUGGGCUUCACUGUCCGGGACUAGGAGCUGACGAGGUUACUUUGAGUAAAUUAGAGUGUUCAAAGCAAGCCUACGCUCUGAAUACAUUAGCAUGGAAUAACACGAUAGGACUCUGGCUUAUCUUGUUGGUCUGUGAGACCAGAGUAAUGAUUAAGAGGGACAGUCGGGGGCAUUCGUAUUUCAUUGUCAGAGGUGAAAUUCUUGGAUUUAUGAAAGACGAACUUCUGCGAAAGCAUUUGUCAAGGAUGUUUUCAUUGA